UACAGAGGUCCCAAGCGUUGUUCGGAUUCACUGGGCGUAAAGGGUGCGUAGGCGGUCGGGUAAGUCUGAUGUGAAAUCUCCGAGCUCAACUCGGAAAUGGCAUUGGAUACUAUUCGGCUGGAGGGCUGGAGGGGGGACUGGAAUACUUGGUGUAGCAGUGAAAUGCGUAGAUAUCAAGUGGAACACCAGUGGCGAAGGCGAGUCCCUGGACAGCUCCUGACACUGAGGCACGAAAGCUAGGGGAGCAAACAGG
rnacentral:rRNA from 1 species